AACGGACCCACCGAAAAACACCCAUGCCCACACGACAGCACGACCCAGGGGACGCCUCACAGCCCCGAAGCCAAAUCCAUACGAUAUAAACCACUAUCGCAAUAUGUACCCCAUGACCAACGCGGCCGUACGGCAUAGUAUAGCGCGUACGGCAUAGCGUAGCAUAGCAUAGCGCGUACGGCAUAGCGUAGCAUAGCAUAGCGUGUACG
rnacentral:lncRNA from 1 species